AUUGAACGCUGGCGGCAUGCUUUACACAUGCAAGUCGAACGGCAGCGCGGGCUUCGGCCCGGCGGCGAGUGGCGAACGGGUGAGUAAUACAUCGGAACGUGCCCAGUAGUGGGGGAUAGCUCGGCGAAAGCCGGAUUAAUACCGCAUACGACCUGAGGGUGAAAGCGGGGGAUCCUCGGACCUCGCGCUAUUGGAGCGGCCGAUGGCAGAUUAGCUAGUUGGUGGGGUAAAGGCCUACCAAGGCGACGAUCUGUAGCUGGUCUGAGAGGACGACCAGCCACACUGGGACUGAGACCCGGCCCAGACUCCUACGGGAGGCAGCAGUGGGGAAUUUUGGACAAUGGGCGAAAGCCUGAUCCAGCAAUGCCGCGUGUGUGAUGAAGGCCUUCGGGUUGUAAAGCACUUUUGGCGGGAACGAAAAGGACUGUGCCAAUACCACGGUUCGAUGACGGUACCCGCAGAAUAAGCACCGGCUAACUACGUG
rnacentral:rRNA from 1 species